AGCGUUAUCCGGAAUUAUUGGGCGUAAAGGGUGUGUAGGUUGUUUUGUUAGUCUUCUGUCAAAUCCCCGGGCUCAACCUGGGAACCGCGGAAGAAACGGCAAAACUAGAAAGUGUGAGAGGCGUACGGAACUCAUGGUGUNNNNNNNNNNNCGUUGAUAUCAUGGGGAACACCAAAAGCGAAGGCAGUACACUGGCGCAUUUCUGACACUGAGACACGAAAGCGUGGGUAGCGAAUGGGAUUAGAUACCCCAGUAGUCCACGCCCUAAACGAUGAUCUCUCGCUUUUCGGAGUAUCGACCCUCUGAGAGGCGAAGCUAACGCGUUAAGAGAUCCGCCUGGGAAGUACGGCCGCAAGGCUAAAACUCAAAGGAAUAGACGGGGACUUGCACAAGCAGUGGAUUAUGUGGUUUAAUUCGAUGGUAAACGAAGAACCUUACCAAGGUUAGAAAUCAUGUUGCAAUCCUUUGGAAACAUUGGACCUCGCAAGACAGCAUGACAGGUGAUGCAUGGCCGUCGUCAGUUCGUGGUUUGAAUUGUACCCUUAAGUGGGCUAACGAACGCAACCCUCGUUGUGUGUUACAAGUGUCACACGAUACUGCCCAGCCCCAAUUUUGCGAUAAUAUUGUUCAUUUUUCGUAAUAUUACGCGAAACGCACUUUUGAAAAUAAAUUUUUGUCUUUUAGACAAAAAUUUGAGUUCAAAUUAGUGGCAAAAUUGGGGCUGGGAGGAAGGAGAGGAUGACGCCAGGUCAGCAUGUCCCUUGAUACCUUGGGCUACACACAUAAUACAAUGGCCGUUACAACGCGCAGCGACGAGGCGACUCUGAGCUAAUCGUUUAAAAGCGGCCUCAGUUCGGAUUGGAGUCUGCAACUCGACUCCAUGAAGCUGGAAUUGCUAGUAAUCGCGGGUCAGCUAUACCGCGGUGAAUACGUUCUCAAGUCUUGUACUCACCGCCCGUCAAGUCAAGGGAGCCGGGAGUACCCGAAGUCUCUACAUAAGUAGGGCCUAAGGUAAGCUUGGUGACAGGGACUAAGUCGUAACAAGGCACGGCUAGCGGAAGCUGGUCGUG
rnacentral:rRNA from 1 species